rnacentral:rRNA from 1 species
CCUACGGGUGACAGCAGUGGGGGAUAUUGCACAAUGGGCGGAACCCUGAUGCAGCGACGUCGCGUGGGUGAAGAAGCCCCUCUGCGCGUAAAGCCCUGUCAGCAGGGAAGAAAAUCACGGUACCUGUAGAAGAAGCUCCGGCUAACUACGUUCCAGCAGCCGCGGUAAUACGUAGGGGGCAAGCGUUAUCCGGAUUUACUGGGGGUAAAGGGGGCGCAGUGGGCGUGGCAAGCCAGGAGGGAAAGCCUGGGGCCCAACCCCGGGAGUGCUGUUGGAACUGCGUGGCUGGAGUGCAGGAGGGGCAGGCGGAAUGCGUGGUGUAGCGGUGAAAUGCUUAGAUAUCAGGAGGAACACCGGUGGCGAAGGCAGCCUGCUGGACUGCAACUGACGUUGAGGCCCGAAAGCGUGGGGAGCAAACAGGAUUAGAUACCCGAGUAGUC